rnacentral:rRNA from 2 species
GUCUCCGCUCGAUGGACGAGUCUGACGGAGCACGCCGCGUGAGUGAUGAAGGUUUUCGGAUCGUAAAGCUCUGUUGUUAGGGAAGAACAAGUGCCGUUCAAAUAGGGCGGCACCUUGACGGUACCUAACCAGAAAGCCACGGCUAACUACGUGCCAGCAGCCGCGGUAAUACGUAGGUGGCAAGCGUUGUCCGGAAUUAUUGGGCGUAAAGGGCUCGCAGGCGGUUUCUUAAGUCUGAUGUGAAAGCCCCCGGCUCAACCGGGGAGGGUCAUUGGAAACUGGGGAACUUGAGUGCAGAAGAGGAGAGUGGAAUUCCACGUGUAGCGGUGAAAUGCGUAGAGAUGUGGAGGAACACCAGUGGCGAAGGCGACUCUCUGGUCUGUAACUGACGCUGAGGAGCGAAAGCGUGGGGAGCGAACAGGAUUAGAUACCCUGGUAGUCCACGCCGUAAACGAUGAGUGCUAAGUGUUAGGGGGUUUCCGCCCCUUAGUGCUGCAGCUAACGCAUUAAGCACUCCGCCUGGGGAGUACGGUCGCAAGACUGAAACUCAAAGGAAUUGACGGGGGCCCGCACAAGCGGUGGAGCAUGUGGUUUAAUUCGAAGCAACGCGAAGAACCUUACCAGGUCUUUGACAUCCUCUGACAAAUCCUAGAGAUAUGAUUGUCCCCUUCGGGGGCAGAGUGACAGGUGGUGCAUGGUUGUCGACAGCUCGUGUCCUGAGAUGUUGGGUUAAGUCCCACCACCAGCGUCACACUAAAAACAUCAGCAGAACUGGUCGAACAAAAGGGGGAUC